UUGCCAUCGUAGUCAGUGUAGUUGCUGUUAUAGUCCCUAUAUGUGGGGUUCUGGUUGGCCUCUUUAUAUUAUGGAAGAAGAAAAACCCAAACCAACAACCCCACAAGACAUAUUUUUGGAGAAAGACCUUAUUGGUCCAGUGUCAGAUCACAUUGUAACAACAGAGGAGCAAGGUGAAAGCUGUAGUGUGAUGGCAGCAGUUACGUGAUCUGAAUGGUCCAAGUGGCCAUGCUAGUUAAAGUGAUGAGCAUUGAUGCUACCAGUCAGGAUGCUCUUUGUAGAGCCUCUAUAAAAGGCCUUCAGGAUCUUGGAUCGCAUACCAAACUUCCUUAGUCAUCUCAGGUGGAAGAGAUGCUGUUGGGCUUUUUUACAAUAUGGUCAGUGUGACCAUCCCAGGUAAGGUCUUCUGUGAUAUUAACGCCAAGGAACGUUUUUGACCCUUUCCACAGCAUCGCCGUUGAUGGUAAUGGUGUCAAACUGAUCUUCUUUCCUUCGGAAGUUUACAAUUAGCUCUUUGGUCUUUGCCAUGUUGAGAGUUGCCAGGUUGUUGGUCUCAUGACACCACUGUGUUAAGUCUCUCCUAUAGGCUGUUUCAUCGUUGUUAGUAAUAAGACCAAUUAUACUGGUGUCAUCAGCAAACUUAAUAACCAUAUUAGAGCUACUGUAUGUUGUGUAGCCAGGGAAGGUGAAUGCUGUGUACGUUGGGGUAACGCCCCCCUGUACUACAGCGGAACUUCCCGCACCUUCCCAUGAUUAUUAGUUAAUCACUUUGGCUCUACAUAAUCCUUGCACCUGUGUCGAAUUGGGAGUGGUUUGCUGUGUCGCGUUUGGGCUGCCGUGUGGCAUCGGAGUGUCUUGUCUUGGGUAACUCUGCUGGGCUAAAGGUCAUCUAACUUUGGGCAUUUAGCUGGCCUACGCGAACAUGGUGUUAAAACCUUGACCUCUGCUAACUGUCCCUCUUUGCUUCGUAGAAAUCGCCCUGUGCAUCUGUCCCCUUUGUGUCAGGCUAAGGACGAUUCGCGGGGUAUAGUACUGUGUCUCGGACGUCGCUUGGUGUGUCUUGCUCGCUGGUAAACCACAAGUCACGGAAGUAGGAGUGGGUUUGCGUGGCUAUGGCGCAGCACCUCCGGUAGGUCCUUAAUUAUGAGCCUGGCUUGUGAAAUAUCUCCGUGGUGACACUAAUGUGUGUGUGUGUGUGUGUUUGCAUAUUGUUACACAGGAGAGAAAUGCUCACCUUGCUGACAACACUGUAGGUGGAAAUCGCAACGUUUAUACCUACUGUUACACCAUCCUGACAUCCUAUUGAUACAUUCUAUGUUAUCGGAGCUAAUCUGAUGUUCUCUGUUUCCAGAGGCCUUACUCAGAAGCCACUGUUGUUUUGCCGGUGCUUAUGUUUGGUGUUCAUUCAUCCUGUUUGUCUGCUCCGUUUCGUCUGCUUCGUGUGUUUGUUUGGUGUCCUAUGUGUUUGUUUUAGUGCUGUCAGUUAAACGCGUUAUUAACGACGUUAACG